rnacentral:pre_miRNA from 1 species
UAUUCAAAUUUUAUAUCUAUUUUUACUGUUAAAAAUUAGCAUAGUUGACAUGACAUGUCAGGCGUACCUUAUUUUGGCAUACAGAAGCUGGUUUUUAACAAUAUAAAUAAAUGGAAUUUUUAACA